rnacentral:rRNA from 1 species
UAGCCUUCGAAAGGAAGAUUAAUACCGCAUAAGAUUGUAGUAUCGCAUGAUAUAGCAAUUAAAGGAGCAAUCCGCUAUAAGAUGGACCCGCGUCGCAUUAGCUAGUUGGUGAGGUAAUGGCUCACCAAGGCGACGAUGCGUAGCCGACCUGAGAGGGUGAUCGGCCACAUUGGGACUGAGACACGGCCCAGACUCCUACGGGAGGCAGCAUG